rnacentral:rRNA from 1 species
UGGGGAAUUUUCCGCAAUGGGCGCAAGCCUGACGGAGCAACGCCGCGUGAGGGAUGAAGGCCUUUGGGCUGUAAACCUCUUUUCUCAAGGAAGAAGAUCUGACGGUACUUGAGGAAUAAGCCACGGCUAAUUCCGUGCCAGCAGCCGCGGUAAUACGGGAGUGGCAAGCGUUAUCCGGAAUUAUUGGGCGUAAAGCGUCCGCAGGCGGCCGUUUAAGUCUGUUGUUAAAUCGUGGAGCUCAACUCCAUCACGGCAAUGGAAACUGUUCGGCUUGAGUAUGGUAGGGGCAGAGGGAAUUUCCGGUGUAGCGGUGAAAUGCGUAGAUAUCGGGAAGAACACCAGUGGCAAAAGCGCUCUGCUGGGCCAUUACUGACGCUCAUGGACGAAAGCCAGGGGAGCG